GGGCUUGUGGUUUAGUGGUAUAAUACUCCCUUAGCAUACUUGAAUGGGAGUGGUCCGGGGUUCGAUUCCCCGCAAGUCCA
rnacentral:tRNA from 2 species